GACGAACGCUGGCGGCGUGCCUAAUACAUGCAAGUCGAACGCAGUGGGGACGGGUGAGUAACACGUUGGUAACCUCCCAUCAGAGGGGAUAACCCUUGGAAACAGGUGCUAAACCGAUCUUGAUGGAUGGACCCGCGGUGCAUUAGCCAGUUGGUGGGGUAACGGCUCACCAAGGCCACGAUGCAUAGCCGGCCUGAGAGGUGGAGCGGCCACACUGUGACUGAGACACGGCCCAGACUCCUACGGGAGGCAGCAGUAGGGAAGCUUCGGCAAUGGACGAAAGUCUGACCGAGCAACGCCGCGUGGGUGAAGAAGGUUUUCGGAUCGUAAAACUCGGUUGGUAGGGAAGCGGUAGCUAACCAGAAAGCCACGGCUAACUACGUGCCAGCAGCCGCGGUAAUAC
rnacentral:rRNA from 1 species